AUUCUCGAAUUUAGAUGAAUUGAUGCAUUAAAAAUGUACGAAUGGUAUCAAUCACGAUAGAGAGUCGACAAGGACUCCCAAUCCUUGAUAAUCAAGCUACUACUUAGGUACCCAGCUUGGAAUUAGGAUUUGGGGCAAUUGGGCACUUUUUGCUUGCAAAAGGGAGUACCAUUGGAGGGUGAAAGAAGAAUCAAAGCGCGAUUUGUGUUAGAAUCUUCAACUGGAAUAUGUUCCCUGUUUCGAUUUUGUCGAAUCCAAAAUGAAGAUUUGGGGACUGCGAUAAUCUUCGCUAAACCAAGUUGAAGCAAGCGAGGAAUUUGAUGCUCAGGCAUGCCAAGAAGGGGAAGUGGAAGGCAGCUUCUUGGAAAUAAAGCCAAACUUCUUCCCAAGCUUUUCAAUGGGUAAAUAGUUACGGGACCUACUAUUUUAUACAUGGGGUUAACCUAAAACUUAGUUGGCUGUAUUGAUUCUAACUUUCCAUCAAUUUCUCAUUUCUCACUUUGCUUAUUUCUUUCGGUUUUUGUUUCAGAAUUGUAACAUAUUUACAACAAAUAAAUUACAACAAAUUUAGACGUAAAAA